rnacentral:rRNA from 1 species
UACGGAGGAUGCAAGCGUUAUCCGGAUUUAUUGGGUUUAAAGGGUGCGCAGGCGGGGGAUUAAGUCGGCGGUGAAAUUUAGCAGCUCAACUGUAAAAGUGCCUUCGAAACUGGUUUCCUUGAGUGUAGAUGAAGUAGGCGGAAUUUGUGGUGUAGCGGUGAAAUGCAUAGAUAUCACGAGGAACUCCGAUUGCGCAGGCAGCUUACUAAACUACUACUGACGCUCAGGCACGAAGGCGUGGGGAUCAAACAGGAUUAGAUACCCGGGUAGUCCCU